rnacentral:rRNA from 1 species
CACGGCGCACGGGUGCGAAACACGUGGGCAAUCCGCCCUCCGAUGGGGAAUAACCCCGCGAAAGCGGGGCUAAUUCCGCAUAACAUUCCUUGGACUCACGUUCGAGGAUUCAAAGCAGCAAUGCGUCGGAGGAGGAGCCCGCGCCCGAUUAGCUAGUUGGUGAGGUAACGGCUCACCAAGGCAAUGAUCGGUAGCUGGUCUGAGAGGAUGGCCAGCCACACUGGAACUGAGACACGGUCCAGACUCCUACGGGAGGCAGCAGUGGGGAAUCUUGCACAAUGGGCGAAAGCCUGAUGCAGCGACGCCGCGUGGGGGAUGAAGCUUUUCGGAGUGUAAACCCCUUUCGCCUGGGACGAAUGCCCGCAAGGGAGUGACGGUACCAGGAUAAGAAGCCCCGGCUAAUUACGUGCCAGCAGCCGCGGUAAGACGUAGGGGGCCAGCGUUGUUCGGAAUUACUGGGUGUAAAGGGUUCGUAGGCGGUGCGGCAAGUUGGGAGUGAAAUCUCUGGGCUCAACCCAGAGGCUGCUUCCAA